GGCCCGCACAAGCGGUGGAGCAUGUGGUUUAAUUCGAGGCAACGCGCAGAACCUUACCUACCCUUGACAUGUCCAGUAUGAGCACCAGAGAUGGAGCUCUUCAGUUCGGCUGGCUGGAACACAGGUGCUGCAUGGCUGUCGUCAGCUCGUGUCGUGAGAUGUUGGGUUAAGUCCCGCAACGAGCGCAACCCUCGCUUCUAGUUGCCAUCAUUCAGUUGGGCACUCUAGAGGGACUGCCGGUGAUAAGCCGGAGGAAGGUGGGGAUGACGUCAAGUCCUCAUGGCCCUUACGGGUAGGGCUACACACGUGCUACAAUGGCGGUGACAGUGGGCAGCGACACAGUGAUGUGAUGCUAAUCCCAAAAAGCCGUCUCAGUUCAGAUUGCAGUCUGCAACUCGGCUGCAUGAAGUUGGAAUCGCUAGUAAUCGUAGAACAGCAUGCUACGGUGAAUACGUUCCCGGGCCUUGUACACACCGCCCGUCACACCAUGGGAGUUGGUCAUACCUGAAGACGGUGUUCUAACCCGCAAGGGAGGAAGCCGGCCACGGUAUGGUCAGCGACUGGGGUGAAGUCGUAACAAGGUAGCCGUAGGGGAACCUGCGG
rnacentral:rRNA from 1 species